CCUACGGGUGGCAGCAGUGGGGAAUAUUGCACAAUGGGGGGAACCCUGAUGCAGCGACGCCGCGUGGGUGAAGGAGUGCUUCGGCGUGUAAAGCCCUGUCGGCGGGGAAGAAGAAAGACGGUACCUGACUAAGAAGCCCCGGCUAACUACGUGCCAGCAGCCGCGGUAAUACGUAGGGGCCGAGGGUUAUCCGGAUGUACGGGGGGUAAGGGGAGCGUAGCCGGCGAGGUAAGCCGGGGGUGGAAGCCCGGGGCCCAACCCCGGAACUGCCUUGGGACCUGCAUGGCUGGAGUGCGGGAGGGGUAGGCGGAAUUCCUGGUGUAGCGGUGAAAUGCGUAGAUAUAAGGAAGAACACCAGUGGCGAAGGCGGCUGACUGGACGGCAACUGACGGUGAGGCGCGAAAGCGUGGGGAGCGAACAGGAUUAGAUACCCGAGUAGUC
rnacentral:rRNA from 1 species